AUUGAACGCUGGCGGCAUGCCUUACACAUGCAGGUCGAACGGCAGCACGGGUGCUUGCACCUGGUGGCGAGUGGCGAACGGGUGAGUAAUGUAUCGGAACGUACCAUUCAGUGGGGGAUAACGUAGCGAAAGUUACGCUAAUACCGCAUACGAUCCAAGGAUGAAAGCAGGGGACCUUCGGGCCUUGUGCUCCUGGAGCGGCCGAUAUCUGAUUAGCUAGUUGGUGGGGUAAAAGCCUACCAAGGCGACGAUCAGUAGCUGGUCUGAGAGGACGACCAGCCACACUGGAACUGAGACACGGUCCAGACUCCUACGGAGGCAGCAGUGGGGAAUUUUGGACAAUGGGGGCAACCCUGAUCCAGCAAUGCCGCGUGUGUG
rnacentral:rRNA from 1 species